GAACAAAAAAGGAGACCGUUCUCCUCUUGGGUGAGAGAUCUAGAACUAUUUUAUUUUUUUGGGUAGAGAAAAAACCAAAGAGAAGAGAGUCUUCAUCUAAAUUUUCUCCACCAUCCAGAUCCUUCUCUGAUCCAUCUUCGACAUCAAAAAGGUUCAAGGUGAUCGAAGAAGGAGAUCAACUUAGAUCUACCAUUAGAAGCCG
rnacentral:lncRNA from 1 species